rnacentral:rRNA from 1 species
GACGAACGCUGGCGGCGUGCUUAACACAUGCAAGUCGAGCGGUAAGGCCCUUUCGGGGGUACACGAGCGGCGAACGGGUGAGUAACACGUGGGUGACCUGCCCUCAGCUCUGGGAUAAGCCUGGGAAACUGGGUCGUAAUACCCGGGAUAUGACUCCAUGACGCAUGUUGUGGGGUGGAAAGCCUUGUGCGGCUGAGGAUGGGCCCGCGGCCUAUCAGCUUGUUGGUGGGGUGAUGGCCUACCAAGGCGACGACGGGUAGCCGGCCUGAGAGGGCGACCGGCCACACUGGGACUGAGACACGGCCCAGACUCCUACGGGAGGCAGCAGUGGGGAAUCUUGCGCAAUGGGCGAAAGCCUGACGCAGCGACGCCGCGUGAGGGAUGACGGG